GAUGAACGCUGGCGGCGUGCCUAACACAUGCAAGUCGAACGGACUUACAUUGAAGCCUAGCGAUAUGUAAGUUAGUGGCGGACGGGUGAGUAACGCGUGGGUAACCUGCCUUGUACUGGGGGACAACAGUUGGAAACGACUGCUAAUACCGCAUAAGCGCACAGUACCGCAUGGUACAGUGUGAAAAACUCCGGUGGUAUAAGAUGGACCCGCGUCUGAUUAGCUGGUUGGUGAGGUAACGGCCCACCAAGGCGACGAUCAGUAGCCGACCUGAGAGGGUGACCGGCCACAUUGGGACUGAGACACGGCCCAAACUCCUACGGGAGGCAGCAGUGGGGAAUAUUGCACAAUGGGGGAAACCCUGAUGCAGCGACGCCGCGUGAGCGAAGAAGUAUUUCGGUAUGUAAAGCUCUAUCAGCAGGGAAGAAAAAAAUGACGGUACCUGACUAAGAAGCCCCGGCUAACUACGUG
rnacentral:rRNA from 1 species